ACUAGGGUUUCUGUAAUCGGAAUCACAGCAUAUGAACGUGAAGCUCUGUUAAAAGAGGAACAGAAUAAAAGCUCGAACAUGUUCAUGAUAUCCACUCUCUGCAGCAUUCUUCCAACUAAAUAUGGCAUGCAUGGUUGAAAUGCUAGAGAAAAUAGAUCAAAUGAUGAUGAUGAUGAUGAUGAUGAUGCAAAUGGUUGCUCUCCAUAAUAUGUCCACAAGAAAAGGAAAACAUAAAAAUAAAAAUCGAAAAGAAAUAAUCUGUAUGUAUGUGGUAAAAAAGCUUAAUUUUAUUUGAUUGCAACCUAAUAUUUGAUUCAAACAUAAUCUUUCACUGUACUGCAACACUUUUAGCAUACGGAUGCCCGCAUAGAGACAUUGCAGCAAAAUCCAAACUCGCACGUCUCUGCCUUCAAAUGUGUCGGCUCCACGUAACGUCGGUGGGCCCGAAUUCCAUCUUCGGAUAUGAGCCGUCCGAUCAUAUGCAUAUGUGCCAUGAAAAUAAUUGAAUUGGAUCUAGUCCCCCUUCUGCGUGAUCCCCUGUAUUGAGAUAAGCAGGGUACAGAUAUUUGAACCCAGUAUUUGGACGUCGAUGGAACUCGAUUCUGACGUGAGGUGUGGAGAGUGGCGGU
rnacentral:lncRNA from 1 species